UUCAAUGGUGACUCAGGCAGGGCAGCUUUCGGGCUGGCCGGUGUCCUUGUAGGCCGGUAGUGCAAACCCUGUCUGGGUUACCACCAAG
rnacentral:antisense_RNA from 1 species